UUUCAACCGCUGCCCUCUAAACCUUGGGUGAAUAGAGACGGCGCUUGGUGAAAUC
rnacentral:miRNA from 1 species